rnacentral:tRNA from 1 species
GGCUUGUAGCUCAGUCGGUUAGAGCGCGCGCUUGAUAAGCGUGAGGUCGGAGGUUCAAGUCCUCCCAGGCCCA